CGUAGGAAUCCUCCAUAGAAGCGUAGUGAGGCGCAGAGAACAACGCCCAGCAGACUGGACUGCAAUCACUUUCCCUACACGCGGACAGAGACGUGCAACCAAACAGACACACGAGACAGGAUCAACUAGGCAGAGAGAGUGAGUGACUAUGACAAGUGUGAAGAUUUGGCAACUACUUCUGUGGCCGUUUGCACUCAUCUCUGAGGGAAAAGCAGAAUGCCCACUACCAGUUCUGGAUGGCAAUUAUGUCUUGACCCCAGAAUCUGCACUGCAGAAUAAUUUCCCAGAGAAUUCAGAAGCUUUCCUGGAGUGUUCCAAUGGAUAUGAGAGAGAGGCUGGGUCAACUUCAAUCCUCUGUACGGAUGGCAAGUGGAGUGAUGUAGAAUUAAUUUGCAAAAAGCGGGAUUGUGGUCAACCUAAACCUUCACCAAAAAUGAGCUACAUUAUUGAAAGUGGAACAUUGUUUGGAGAAUACAUAAAACCCAGAUGUGAGAGGGGGUAUUUCCUAGAAGGGUCAAGCUACAGGCAAUGUCUUGUAAACGGUUGGAGUGGAAGGUCUGAAUGUACACUGAUAACGUGUGAUCCGCCUAUCGAAAUUGAAAAUGGCAAGAUAGUCUCAUACAAGGAAGCUCCUGAGCUUGAUGAUGUCAUUGAAUAUUCCUGCAAUGCAAACUACAUCCUCGCUGGAAACAGAUACAUGAAAUGUGGAGAAGAUGGGGAGUAUGAUUCACAUCCACCAAUAUGCCAAGACAUGAAAAUACAGACAAAAGAAAGCAUUACCACAAACAUAGACACAACCAACAGUGGUUUACAUGAAAGGGUUGGGGAACAGCCCGCUACUUAUUCACAAAGUAGUGUGAUUAUGGGUUCUGUGGUAUCUGGCAAUUUGUAUUUUUGUUUUAUUUUGUUUGUAUUGUUCUUCUAAACAGAAGAGGUGAGAAUAUUUCUUAAUCUCUCAACUGGCUUUAAAAUCAUUUUGGCAUACUUAAGCAUGGCAAACUGGCACUCCGUUUGUAUUGCUGCUUAAGAUAUGCAUUCAUAGAAACACUGUCUGUUUACUCUAGCUGCCACAUGCAUGAAUCAGUCCUGCGUGAACCCUAUCUUUACAUAUGGCGUUUCUUUAUGAGAACUUAGUCUGAUGCUUGAUAAAAAUGCUUUACUUGACUUUUUUCACACUUGAAAUAGUUAAUUAAUUUGUUAAUUGUUAAAGGGAUAGUUCACCCAAAAAUAAAAAAAUCUGUCAUCAUUUUCUCACCCUCAUAUUGUUCCAAACCUGUAUGACUUACUUUUUUUUUGGCGGAACAGAAAAGGAGGUCAUAAUCACAAUGUUUACCUCUGUCACCAUUCAUUUUCAUUGCAUCUUUUUUCCAUACCCUCCUGAGACCCGAGCGUGACUACUGUGUGGAUUUUCCAUUCCCUUUUUGAUUUGUAACUAAUAGCCUCUAAGAAACAUAAAAAAUAAAAAUAAACUUUUUUUUUAAACAAAUAGUUUUCCCAAAAAUUAAUGUCACCAUAUGUGGACAGUGGGAAUAAGUUGUGAAAUUUCUAAAUAAUACCAAGCUAAAGAAAGUUUUUCAAUCAAAUUGUUUAUUAUGUUUCCAGUCAUUACAUCAUAAAUUAGCAUAAAUAAUUCUAAUUCAAAGUAACGGCCAGCAUCAUCCAAUCACUGCCAACCAUGUUAAAAUAAAAUUGUGCAUGCAUUAUUCGGAAUCUGUGUACUGAAUACAAUUGCCCCAUGUCUGCCAAACAUUUUGAGUGGUCCAAACAUCAUCCGCAGUCUGAAACUGAAAUUUGACCGGAUGUUAGGAGUGAAUGCAUUUGGCUGCAUAGGAAAGCUAUAGGAUGCUCUCUUGCACACUAAUUAGGGAAUGACUUAACCUCCAUUGUGCUGUCUGUCUGCACUGGUCUCAGAACCGUUUGAAAUGCACCUUAUUUUCAUCCUAACUCCAGAUACAGCCUCUGAAAGCAACAUUUUCCAGCUUUUGGAUGCAUCUGUUUAUUCUCAAUGUGAUAAUGCACAGUGACUAUAGGAUAUUUUAAGGAAAUUAGUCCUCAUACAUGGUCAUUGUGUUUAACAGCGUACCGUUUCGCAAUAAAUCAAUGACAUUUUUAAAAUGGGAUAUCAGAUGAAACUAGAGACUCUACUCUUUUGACUCAAACAGGUUUUAAGUAGAAACUUAAGAGGUUUCUUACCAGAUGUAGUUUUGUUGCCGUUUCUCCCAAAGACAAACUCAGCUGAGAUCGGCGCCAUGUUGUUUUGUCACAUUGUCCGUGCAUCGAAAGUUUAACCCUAUAAUGACAGCCUUGAGUCUCCUGAACUGAGACCAGUUAGUUUAAAUGAAAUGAAAUUAUGCAAAGCCUAUAGCGAAGCCAAAACGUAAUGUCCACUCAUGUGGGCACGGGGUCUAAGGAGGAUACAAUGAAAGUAAAUGUUGACUGAGGCUGUCACUCCAUCUAACAUCUCCUUGUGUUCCACAGAAGAAAGAAAUUCAUAUGGAUUUGAAACAAAUGAGGGUGUGUAAAAGAUGACAGAAUUUUCACUUUGGGGUGAAUUGGAAUUUUCAUUUGUACUUCAUUUUACAGUGUCCUUGUUUAUAUGAGCCUGUACAGUAUGUUACUAUAAUAAAUUAUAAAAGAAAUAACAAUUACUUUGUGUGAUUAGAAACAGCUCCUCAAAUUUUUCAGUAUGUACUUUUGUACAUACAUAGUAACAUGAACACUGAAAAAUAAAAUAUGACCAAAUUUUGUUUUACUGGUUUCAAGGAAGUGCCUUGAAACCAGCAGGUUACUAAUUAAUGGAAAACAACUUUAAGGAAGAUCAGGGGUUCUAGGUAGCUUAAUUAAUUCUGGUGUGACUUGUAAAAAUGUAUUGCUGUCAUCUGGGCACAUAAUGAGCAUAAACAUUAAAAUGAAAGGGUGUGAAGGGGUUGCCUGAUGUUGCUAACAGAAUGACAAAAACAAAUUUAUGAUGAGCUGAUUAUUGUCCAAAUGCGAAUUACAUCCAGACAGCAUGCAGCACAGAUGGCUAAUAGAAUAUUAACAAAAAUUUAAUUAGUUCAAUCAAUAAAUAAUGUAUUCAAAUUACUUUAUCUCCUCGUUUGAAAAUGCUGCAUAGGUCAUACUAUACUGGCGAAGAACAGAGGUCAAAAGAGGAGUUAUUGCUAUGUCAAAGUCUCUAAACUCAAGGCAUCCUCCUAAAAGAAUCUCUGGCACACAUGUGUUUCCACCUCUGAAAGUGCAGUUUUAGUGAGACAUUGUAAAGUCAGCUAUUUAUAGUGCACCACAACACAAGUUCUUUGAAGGGAUCAGAUUUGCUGUGACCACACAGUGACUGAAGCAAACCUGAACAUGAGCAAAUGUACUGUAUUUAAUGUGAUUGUAACCUGAAACAAUUAUUUCACUCUGUAUAUCCCCUUUAAAAAGUAUUGGUCUGCAGUAGGCUACACAGCAGUGUGGUUACCGGGACAAUAGCAGAGAUAGUUGCUGUUAUUCAAGCCAAGCAGUCAAUUACAUAAACUGAAAAACCAGUCAGACAUUGUACUCUCAAAAGCAAAGAGAGAUUCCAUUAAAAUUUGGUUCCCAAAAAGUCUCUAUGGAUGGUUGCUAAGGCGUUCUGGCGGAUUGCUAAGUGGUUGCUUACUGGCCCAAGUCAAAAGAGCCCAUCCCCAAGUCUCUAUAGAGUGUGUUUGCAUGCACGUUCUUACACCAAUUAUGCUUAAUAAGCCAACAAUAAGGCUUUGGGUUAAGAUCAUAAACGGUUUAAGCAUAAACUGAUCGGCACACGUACAUUUUUGCCUUCUAUUCUGAUUUUGUGUUGCAAGUAAACACCAUUACUGGCAUUCUAACCGGCUUAUCCAAUGUGCACAAGCAUUGUGCGCAUGCUUGUUUACAUUUUGAAGUCGAAUGCAGAGAAUAAUCCAGUGGUUUCAAAUUAAAUGUAAACGCGUGUUUCCUAAAAGUUAUCAGCGUAUUGCUGUGCAUGGAAAUGUGCUCUUAUGAUAUUCUGGUCCAUAUAUAGGCUAUGACUUAAAUUUAAAGGGACAGUUCACCCAAAAAUGA